rnacentral:rRNA from 1 species
UGGAUAGGCAAUUAUUCCUGCAAUGGUUUUUUGUUUAAAUGUUUUUUCGCCUAAGGAUGGGUCUGCGGCCGAUUAGGUAGUUGGUUAGGUAAUGGCUUACCAAGCCGUUGAUCGGUACGGGUUGUGAGAGCAAGAGCCCGGAGAUGGAACCUGAGACAAGGUUCCAGGCCCUACGGGGUGCAGCAGGCGCGAAACCUCCGCAAUGUGAGAAAUCGCGACGGGGGGAUCCCAAGUGCCAUUCUUAACGGGAUGGCUUUUCAUUAGUGUAAAGAGCUUUUGGAAUAAGGGCUGGGCAAGACCGGUGCCAGCCGCCGCGGUAACACCGGCAGCUCUAGUGGUAGCAGUUUUUAUUGGGCCUAAAGCGUCCGUAGCCGGUUUAAUAAGUCUCUGGUGAAAUCCUGUAGCUUAACUGUGGGAAUAGCUGGAGAUACUAUUAGACUUGAGACCGGGAGAGGUUAGAGGUACUCCCAGGGUAGAGGUGAAAUUCUGUAAUCC